rnacentral:tRNA from 1 species
GACCGCGUAGCUCAGUUGGAAGAGCAUUGGGCUAGCAUUGCAAAGGUCGUAGGUUCGAUUCCCACCGUGGCCG